AAAGUAAUGCAGCCGCCCGCCGCGCGCGGGGACGUCGGUAGCAAGCCCGUGUAAUGCAGAGUUUUCU
rnacentral:ribozyme from 2 species